AACGGCGCCCAGACCCACUGCCCAGCAGCCCGUUUUACUAGGAAUCAAACGUCUGGGGGCAGUGAUUCCUUCCUUUUAAGGCACAGCUUGGCACGGCAGGAAAGGACUGGACCGAGCUGGCUGGGACCACUGAGUGUGCGGAGCCCUGAUCAGCGCCGAAAGCAGCUGGGGGAGGGAAGGGUUAAAGCGGCCUCGCAGUCGACGCGCAGUUGCCGGAAUCCAUUGGGUUGGUUGGCUCGGCUCCAGUCUGGGCUGGGACGGGGAAGGGUUAAAGGGGCGAGGGGGCGUCUCCAGCCUGUCCCAGGGGGUUGGUUGGCGGUUGCAGCUGACUCCUCCUGGUCCGAAGAACUGAAAGCAGCCGGGGAAGCCAGGAGCCACAUCGACUGAAUCUGGGCAAGGGAAGGAGCCUGUUACGCGUCGCUCGGUCCCAGCUGCAGGACUCUCACUUUGGGAUACUACCAUCUCCCCAGGCUGCCUCUCUCUGUGGGGAAAAAUGCUGCUUCUCUUCCAUCUCUGAUGCUGGAAUCUGGUGAUGCAGUGAGGUUGAGUUGGUAUGCAGUGCUCGUGUGCACAUGCCUCCUCAGAUCUCUGAAGGUCAGAAACUUGUGGCUAGAUUCCUACAGAUUGGUGAGAUUGAACUAUUUUAUAAUGCUACAACUUCCAUGGCCGAACUAGUAUUGCAAAGAACUGUGGAGAGGAGGCUAGUGUUUCAGUGACAACUUUGCAAUCCCAGUAAUGGGCUGGUGUUGCACAUAUUGGUGUAUCUGAUGACAAACUAGCUGCAAAGGUGACAAAUUCUUGCUCCUUUAUAGGAUGCCAAUCAAGCACUGUAUGUGCGGACGCUGACGGGACAUGGACCUGUGGAAAAGGAAGCAAAUAGGCUUGGUUAUGCACUGAGACACUUCCAGGUGGCACUCUUGUGGGUGUCCCAAGCCCAGGAUACUAGUUUUGGUUGGAACAACUGACUGGAGUAUCAUUUCCAUUCCUGCUCAGAGACAAACUGAUACAGGGGUCUGGUACCAAGUGUCUGUCUUGGAGCAAGAGUUCCAGCCCUUCUGUAAAAACAUGAGGCAUUUGUGUUCCUGAGGUACUUUGAUGCUUGUUCACAUUGGGAUGUCCCAUCACUGUGAGCCCUCCCCCUCCCCAGAAAGGCACUGGUUAGUCACCCUGAAAGCCAUGAUACAGAUUCAGGGACAGUCCCCAUUUAGUGGAAGGGGAUCGCUUUUUCUCUUCUGUUAUCAAUAGCACACAUGUAACUUCCUCUAUGGGGGAGGAGUCUUUUGGAUUAGAAGAACAGUUCCACUUAAUCCAGCUGGUUUGGUCCAGAGCCCAACUUCACUUUGGUUGAUCUUCUCUAUUGACCUGAUCAGGGCUGUGUAUGACAAGGUCUCUAAAACAUUCCUGCUUCUGUGUGUGAGUGCACAGUGUUGUGAGUCUGAGUUAUUAGUGUGAAACUGGGGUUGGCAGUAGGGGAUCUGCUCUUAUCAGUAUGGGGUGGAGGCAGCAGGGCAGAUGCCUGAGGCAUUCUCUCUUUUUCAUACCAGUGCAUGUGACAGAAUGAGAUGUAAGGUUUCUCCAAGGCCAAAGCUUUCUCCACAGGGCUAGCCCUACCCAAUUGCCUGGAGUCUCCUCCCUUGUGAAGAUUUCACAGCUUUAACGAUGCAGCUCAUCUGGACUGUCCUCAUUCCAGUUAGCAUGCCACUUUGGUCUCUCAGCACCGGCAGGUGCAACGUAACCUGGAACUGGAGGAUGGCAAAGGAGAUGUCCUACCAGGGCCUCUUCAAAGCUCAGUAUCCAGCUGCUUGCAUCUGCUCCUCUCCUCUGGGUGCCUCCUCCUUUCAUUCUAAGACGUCACACAGUGUGACUGAACUUCAUGUGGAAUUCUUAGGUUGACACUGGCUUCUCCUCCUUGCUGUGAAGAUGCUUGAAUUGGGGACCGAGCUUGAGGCAUGUGUCACAGAGGAGCGCUAAAGUUAUAUCACUGCUACAGCCUAUGUCGGUAAAACUUGCGUUGCUCGGUGGGUGGAAUAUUCACCCCCCUGAGCGACAUAAGUUACACUGACAUAAGUGCUCACGUGUGCACAGCACUAUGUUGAGCUUCUCCCACCAACAUAGCUUCUGCCACUCGUGGAGAUGGGAUUUUUAUGCUGAUAAAAGAGCUCUCUCCCAUCGGCAUAGAGCGUCUUCACCAGAUGUACUACCGUGGCGCAGCUGUAUCAGUACAACUGCACUGCUUCAGCUGUGUACUUUAGAGACAUGGCCUAAGUUCUGGCCUGCUUCAGAACCGUUUCAGACUUGGCAGGCAUUUUAUAUCCUGUUCCCUUCCUGUGCUUCUAUGGGGUCCGUCAAAGUGUGACGCUUUAA